rnacentral:rRNA from 1 species
AGCAGCCGCGGUAAUUCCAGCUCCAAUAGCGUAUAUUAAAGUUGUUGCAGUUAAAAAGCUCGUAGUUGAAUUUCGGGAUCAAUACGUCGGUCGUGCCUUCGGUACGCACUGGCGUCGUUGAUUUCUCCCUUCUGAUGAACCAUGAUGUCAUUAAUUUGGUGUUGUGGGGAGCCAGGACUGUUACUUUGAAAAAUUAGAGUGUUUAAAGCAGGCAAACGCUUGAAUACAUUAGCAUGGAAUAAUGAAAUAGGACGUUCGGACCUAUUUUGUUGGUUUCUAGGUACAACGUAAUGAUUAAUAGGGAUAGUUGGGGGCAUUAGUACUCAAUUGUCAGAGGUGAAAUUCUUGGAUUUAUUGAAGACUAACUACUGCGAAAGCAUUUGCCAAGGAUGUUUUCAUUAAUCAAGAACGAAAGUUAGGGGAUCGAAGACGAUCAGAUACCGUCGUAGUCUUAACCAUAAACUAUGACCGACUAGGGAUCGGAUGAUGUUAAUUUUUAAUGUACUC